GGAGGAGAAAGGAGGGGAAGGCUCUCUCAAGUCUGUGGUUAUAAGGAAUGAAUGUCUCAACCGCCCAGCCCCCAGUAGAAGGGCUCUGACCCACGGAGCAGAGACAAAGGUGACUCCGAAAUGGACAGCAGGCACUCAUGCUAGCAGUGAAGUCUUUUCAAGAUGUAAAUCCCCACGAAGUUUGCCAGCAUCUAGUCGACACCUCCGUGUGCUUUCACCCGCUGCCUAUUCUUUGCCAUUUCGAACCUCAUGGACACCAGUAGGAAGAGCUAGCGGCUGUCACAUUAAGUCUACACAGGAACUAAUUCUACUGCCAGAGAAGGGAAUCUUCCCUGUCCCCACUCAGAAGACACUAUGGAUUGCAGUAGACCAUCAUCUGCUGUGUGUUUCAUAGCCUUUAAUUUUCAGAAUGGUCGUUUGUGGCGGGGGGGAUUAUCUUGUUUCUACGCCACUGGUGUGUGUUUAAAUGAGAGUUCGACUUUUAGUUCGUAAAUUGCACCGACAUCUGGAGCUGGUGGAUGGUUACAGACUUUGAGCGGGGUGCAGUGAGAUUUGGGGGUUCUCUACUGGGCACAGGUGAGUGUGCUCUAUAUA